GUCGCUGCCCUCGCGUGCUGCGCGGCACCUCCCGCUCCCGCCCCGACGUCCACAGAGCCGUCUGUCGCGAAGGACGAGGGGAGAGUGAGGCUUUGGCCAUCCAUCUGGGCGCAAACUUCGCAGCAGCCUCCUGUGGAAAGCAUCAGAAAUGGCCGCUGAAAGGGAGGCCUCGGUGUUGCGCACGGAGAAGACAGAGGCAAGAUGUACAUAAGGGAAUGAUGCCAAGAAUGUACCCUGGAAUCUGAGGGAAGGUGAGACUAUCUGGUGAAGAGGAGGUGGUAUGACUGAUGGAUCAUAGGUCAUGGUGGGGUUAAAGAAUUGUUUGUCAAAAUAUCAAGUUGAACACCUUAAUUGUAUACAAUUUCUGUUUGCCAGUUAUACCCCAAUAAAGACUGAAGGAUAAAAAGAAUUGCUGGACUCAGAGGGGAGAAAGAGAGAGAGAGAGAGAGAGAGCUGGAGGCUGGGUGUGGUGGCUCAUGCCUGUGAUCCCAGCACUU